rnacentral:rRNA from 1 species
ACGGGGCCCGCACAAGCGGUGGAGUAUGUGGUUUAAUUCGACGCAACGCGCAGAACCUUACCUAGGCUUGACAUCCCGGGAAUUUGCUGGAAACAGUGAAGUGCUUUCAUUAGAAAGAGCCCGGUGACAGGUGCUGCAUGGCUGUCGUCAGCUCGUGUCGUGAGAUGUUGGGUUAAGUCCCGCAACGAGCGCAACCCUCGCCUUUAGUUGCCAGCAUUCAGUUGGGCACUCUAAAGGGACUGCCGGUGUCAAACCGGAGGAAGGUGGGGAUGACGUCAAGUCCUCAUGGCCUUUAUGUCUAGGGCUACACACGUACUACAAUGGCAGGUACAAAGGGCAGCGACACAGCGAUGUGAUGCGAAUCCCGAAAAGCCUGUCUCAGUCCGGAUCGGAGUCUGCAACUCGACUCCGUGAAGUUGGAAUCGCUAGUAAUCGUGGAUCAGCAUGCCACGGUCGAAUACGUUCCCGGGCCUU